CGGAGAUUCACUCUUGUUGCCCAGGCUGGAGUGCAAUGGCACAAUUUCGGCUCUCCACAAUCUCUGCCUCCCAGAUUCAAGCUAUUCUCCUGCCUCUGUCUCCCAAGGAGCUGGGAUUACAGAUGAAAGCACCAUUAUCAAGUAAGAAGAGCACAAGUCAAGCCACUGUAAGUUGAGGACUCUCUGUACUUUCUUAAAUGUUUGAUAGAAUUCACCUGAGAAAGCAUGUAGCCUGUAAUUAUAGAAAUCUUUUUUAAUUAAAAAAAUUCUUCAAUACAUAGAGAAGCUAUUACUUUUUCUAUUUCAUUUUGCAUUAGUUUUAAGAAUUAGUUUUACAAAUAAUUUCCCAUGUUAUUUUAAUUGUCAAAUGUAUUGGCCUAAAGUUUUCAUAAUUAUAUUGAUGUCUGUAGGUUCUGUAGUUACAUCCUCUAUUUAAUUCCCAUUAUCUACAUUAUGUAGCUUCUGUAAUUUUUUUCGAGAUAAA
rnacentral:lncRNA from 10 species